rnacentral:lncRNA from 10 species
GCAGCUCCCCGGCAGCGGCGGUGGAGAGCGCAGCGCGCAGCCCGGUGCAGCCCUGGCUUUCCCCUCGCUGCGCGCCCGCGCCCCCUUUCGCGUCCGCAACCAGAAGCCCAGUGCGGCGCCAGGAGCCGGACCCGCGCCCGCACCGCUCCCGGGACCGCGACCCCGGCCGCCCAGAGAUGACCGCGACCGAAGCCCUCCUGCGCGUCCUCUUGCUCCUGCUGGCUUUCGGCCACAGCACCUAUGGGGCUGAAUGCUUCCCGGCCUGCAACCCCCAAAAUGGAUUCUGCGAGGAUGACAAUGUUUGCAGGUAAUAGAGUGGCUCCUCAGAGGCAGCUUGUAGGGGCCACGCAGAAGCCUGGGGAGUCGUGAAGUCAGGCAGAAAAAAAUAGGGGGCUUGGCCACUACGCUGCAGCAAACAGCUUCCGGGCCCCUGCAGAAAACUGGUGGGGCGAGCUGGGGAGAUGGGGGGGGCGGGGGGGGGGCAGCCACAGCUCCUGUCUGCGUUCUCAGAGGUGGGGGGGCAGGUGGGACCACUGCA